UACGUAGGUGGCAAGCGUUGUCCGGAUUUACUGGGCGUAAAGAGCGCGCAGGCGGUCGGAUUAGUCGCGUGUGAAAGCCCCCGGCUCAACUGGGGAGGGUCACGCGAUACUGUUCGACUCGAAGGCAGGAGAGGGAAGUGGAAUUCCCGGUGUAGUGGUGAAAUGCGCAGAUAUCGGGAGGAACACCAAUGGCGAAGGCAGCUCGCUGGGACGGUACUGACGCUGAGGCGCGAAAGCGUGGGGAGCAAACAGG
rnacentral:rRNA from 1 species